CUAGGAUAGAUCAGCCAAAAAAGCACAGGACUAAAAAUCCUCGUGUCACCAGUUCAAA
rnacentral:tRNA from 1 species